GGCUGGUCCGAGUGCAGUGGUGUUUACAACUAAUUGAUCACAACCAGGUACAGCACUGCUUCACUUGACUAGCCUUAA
ensembl:misc_RNA Y_RNA Y RNA